rnacentral:rRNA from 1 species
CAAAGAAGGUAAUAAUCCUGUAGUCGAAAAUGUUGUCUCUCUUGAGUGGAUCCUGAGUACGACGGAGCACGUGAAAUUCCGUCGGAAUCUGGGAGGACCAUCUCCUAAGGCUAAAUACUCUCUAGUGACCGAUAGUGAACCAGUACCGUGAGGGAAAGGUGAAAAGCACCCCGGAAGGGGAGUGAAAUAGAACCUGAAACCGUGUGCUUACAAGUAGUCAGAGCCCGUUAAUGGGUGAUGGCGUGCCUUUUGUAGAAUGAACCGGCGAGUUACGAUUUGAUGCAAGGUUAAGCAGUAAAUGUGGAGCCGUAGCGAAAGCGAGUCUGAAUAGGGCGUUUAGUAUUUGGUCGUAGACCCGAAACCAGGUGAUCUACCCUUGGUCAGGUUGAAGUUCAGGUAACACUGAAUGGAGGACCGAACCGACUUACGUUGAAAAGUGAGCGGAUGAACUGAGGGUAGCGGAGAAAUUCCAAUCGAACCUGGAGAUAGCUGGUUCUCUCCGAAAUAGCUUUAGGGCUAGCCUCAAGUGAUGAUUAUUGGAGGUAGAGCACUGUUUGGACGAGGGGCCCCUCUCGGGUUACCGAAUUCAGACAAACUCCGAAUGCCAAUUAAUUUAACUUGGGAGUCAGAACAUGGGUGAUAAGGUCCGUGUUCGAAAGGGAAACAGCCCAGACCACCAGCUAAGGUCCCAAAAUAUAUGUUAAGUGGAAAAGGAUGUGGCGUUGCCCAGACAACUAGGAUGUUGGCUUAGAAGCAGCCAUCAUUUAAAGAGUGCGUAAUAGCUCACUAGUCGAGUGACACUGCGCCGAAAAUGUACCGGGGCUAAACAUAUUACCGAAGCUGUGGAUUGUCCUUUGGACAAUGGUAGGAGAGCGUUCUAAGGGCGUUGAAGCAUGAUCGUAAGGACAUGUGGAGCGCUUAGAAGUGAGAAUGCCGGUGUGAGUAGCGAAAGACGGGUGAGAAUCCCGUCCACCGAUUGACUAAGGUUUCCAGAGGAAGGCUCGUCCGCUCUGGGUUAGUCGGGUCCUAAGCUGAGGCCGACAGGCGUAGGCGAUGGAUAACAGGUUGAUAUUCCUGUACCACCUAUAAUCGUUUUAAUCGAUGGGGGGACGCAGUAGGAUAGGCGAAGCGUGCGAUUGGAUUGCACGUCUAAGCAGUAAGGCUGAGUAUUAGGCAAAUCCGGUACUCGUUAAGGCUGAGCUGUGAUGGGGAGAAGACAUUGUGUCUUCGAGUCGUUGAUUUCACACUGCCGAGAAAAGCCUCUAGAUAGAAAAUAGGUGCCCGUACCGCAAACCGACACAGGUAGUCAAGAUGAGAAUUCUAAGGUGAGCGAGCGAACUCUCGUUAAGGAACUCGGCAAAAUGACCCCGUAACUUCGGGAGAAGGGGUGCUCUUUAGGGUUAACGCCCAGAAGAGCCGCAGUGAAUAGGCCCAAGCGACUGUUUAUCAAAAACACAGGUCUCUGCUAAACCGUAAGGUGAUGUAUAGGGGCUGACGCCUGCCCGGUGCUGGAAGGUUAAGAGGAGUGGUUAGCUUCUGCGAAGCUACGAAUCGAAGCCCCAGUAAACGGCGGCCGUAACUAUAACGGUCCUAAGGUAGCGAAAUUCCUUGUCGGGUAAGUUCCGACCCGCACGAAAGGCGUAACGAUUUGGGCACUGUCUCAACGAGAGACUCGGUGAAAUCAUAGUACCUGUGAAGAUGCAGGUUACCCGCGACAGGACGGAAAGACCCCGUGGAGCUUUACUGUAGCCUGAUAUUGAAAUUCGGCACAGCUUGUACAGGAUAGGUAGGAGCCUUUGAAACGUGAGCGCUAGCUUACGUGGAGGCGCUGGUGGGAUACUACCCUAGCUG